ensembl:miRNA MIR491 microRNA 491
UUGACUUAGCUGGGUAGUGGGGAACCCUUCCAUGAGGAGACGAACACUCCUUAUGCAAGAUUCCCUUCUACCUGACUGGGUUGG